AUGGACGACUUCAGGAACACUACGGAGCGUCUCUUUAUAGAUGCUGAUGGUAAUACCAAGCUCGAUGUGUUGUACACCAAUGAGCCCCACAAGGUGGAGGAGAUUCUUACUCUCUAUGAGGAAUGGCUGCGUGAGGACAGGUACAAGUUUGUUGGUCUUGAUGUGGAGUACACACGAGAGGAUUAUUUUGAUCGUAGUAGAAAAGUUGCCAUUAUGCAACUGGCGAUGCGCAAGCAUGUUCUUGUUUAUCACUUGUGCAAGGCCAGGACGGAGUGCGCUGCUCUGAAGGAUUUCCUUUGGAACAAAGGUAUAAUUUUUGCUAGUGUCGACGUCAGGAACGAUAGGGAUGUUCUCGCAAAUAGUUACCUCAAAAUCCCAAGAGAGUGUCACAUCGACCUUCAAGAGGAGCUCAUGAUCAAAGGAGGCAAUCUAAGGGAUUCAAUGGCAGAUUUGGCAGGAGCCGUCAUAAACAAAUCUUACUUGAGUAUGAAGUCGUCUUUUCCACAAGGUCUGCAUGACUACUGGGAAUGGAAGCCGCUUUCCCUUGAACACCUAAAAUAUGCGGCAACUGAUGGGACCGUGCCUCUAGAAGCCCGCAUCCAUGUCUGUGGAGGCUUCACUUCCGUGGCUUCUUUUCCGCAAUUCAUGGUCUUAGGAAUCUCCAUUGGCACCUUGCUGCUCGUUGCCAUGGACGACUUUUUGAACACCACCAAGUACCAUCCUAUAGUUGUCGAUGGUAACACGAAGCUCAACGUGUGGUACACCAACGAGCCUGGCAAGGUGGAGGAGAUCAUUGGCUUGUACGAGGACUGGUUGCGCGAGGAGAAGCACAAGUUUGUUGGUCUCGGCCUGGAGUUCACGGCCAGGACGGAGUGCCCUGCCCUGAAGGAUUUCCUUGAGAAUAGAGGUAUAACUUUCUCUAGUGUGGGCGUCAGGAAUAUUCGAGAUGCUCUUUUUCAAGAUUUCAUCAGAAUUCCAGAAGGGUACCACAUCGACAUCCAAGAGAAGUUUAUGAUCAAAGGCGGCGAAGAAAGGGACUCCAUGGAGGACUUAGCAGGAGCCAUAAUUGACGAAUCUUAUUCGAAGCUGGAGUCAUCUUUUCCAGAACUUCUUUGUCACUACUGGGAUUGGAAGCCACUUACUUUUGAUCACCUGAAAUAUGGAGCUACUAAGGUGAACAGUAGGUUUGACAUGAAAGGAGGCCAUGGUGUGAGGAUAGUUGUUGUAAGCAGAAUGAUGGUGCAGCAACCAGUGGAGCAUCACGAGUGGAUGGAAUUGCUUUUCCCGUGUCCAAUGUUCAGGAGUGCGUCAUCUGGUCAGGACAACAGGGACGGUCGGUCUUUGAAUGACAUCGGCAAGGAUUAUGGGAGGCAGGUGUACGAGGAAGGAAGCAAGUAUCGCGGUAGUCCACGAAUCGAUGAAAACAUAAGGCAAGGUCCUAUGAAAGUAUCACCCGUGGCGUUCAACAUGAGGGGUCCUUCCAAAGGAUCUCCGAUGGCAUUCAAAAUCGUCAGCGAAGUCACCAAUGCACGGAGGUUGUCGCCAAGAUUUGCUGGACAAGAGAGGCAUGGGAAAACAAAGGAUUUGGUGGAGGGAAUAACAGAUGAGGGAAAGAAAUAUCAUAGUUCUCCAUCCAUUUCGAAGGAAACGCAACGUUCACAGCAGCAAGUAGCGUACAGCGCCAGCACAGAUUGCAUGGUAGAAGCAGCACAGUCCCUUGGUUGCACGAGUGCUGGAGAAACAGGGAGCAACAUUGCACAAUACAACAUUGGAGAGGCAGACUCAUUUAUGGAUUUGGCCGUGCCAUGCAGAAACGACGCUGCUGCGUGUGACAAACAACAGAGCAGCAACAGCUCUGCUAUAAGUGGACCUGUGGCUGGCGAUGAGACUGAUGUCGUCAGAAGUGAAUGCGAUCAGACGAACGAAGACACGGUAGACAGAAUCAUCAUGGGGCCGCCAACCAUUGUAGAGAAAGAAAUGGACGACAUGUUUAAAGAAGGCAUAUACCCAACGAUUCAGGAGGUCACCGAAGCGCUCGAACCAGAGGGUGGUAUGGUAUUCGGAUCAUUGGAUGAGUGCUUUUUGUUUUUCUGCAGAUAUGCUAGAAAGGUUGGCUUUGCUGCCAAGCGAUCAACGAGCAGAAGAUCGACAUAUGAUCAGCAGCUUGACAAGCAGGUGUUUCAGUGCACCAAGGAAGGGCAUAAUAAAACAACUGAGAGACAUGUUAAGGAGAGAAGGAGCAACUGCUUGAUCCGGACAAGCUGCCCAGUCCAAAUAACAGCCAAGAGGGAUACAGAUAAGAGGAAAUGGUACCUGAAGAACGUUCGUCUAGAGCACAACCACCAGCUUCACCCAUCUGAUUGGAUGCUGAAGUUCAUGAGAUGCUAUAAGAAGAUGACACCUCAGGAGAAAUUCUUUAUACAAGUGCUGCAGAAGGCGAGGUUAGAACCAAGGAAGGUUAUGCAGAUUUUUACUGCCAUGGGGAAACCGAGGCGAAAAAUUAUGUUCGACAUGAUUGACAUAAGCAACAUUGCAUGCCUGGACAAGGCUGGAAAGCGCGGCACUGAUAUUGCAGACACCAUGAAAAUGUUUGCUGAUAUGCAGAGGCGGAGGCCGGGAUUCCACCAUGUGGAAGAGACAGAGAACAAUGUAGUGCGCAGCUUGUUCUGGACAGAUUCCUUGUGUAAGAUGAAUUAUGAUCUAUAUGGAGAUUUCGUGUCUUUUGACACCACAUUCUCUACGAAUAUAUAUGGCUUGCCAUUUGCACCAAUUAUAGGUGUCGACAACCAUGGGUCGACCGUCCUGUUUGGAGUAGGCCUUUUGAAGGAUGAGAAAAUAGGGUCAUUCAAGUGGCUCCUAAGCACGAUUGUCGAGGCAAUGGGAGGCAUGAUCGAUCAACUUCCAAAAUCCUUUGUCAUCCCCAGAUGGACCAGGAAUCUAUCAGAGAGUCUGAAAGUUCUGUCUACAAGUCAAGGUGAUAGCAUGACCAUACAAGACGAUGAAACUAUGAGAUUCGGCCUCCCUUACGCUGAGUUGUCGGACAUCUGUUCAAAUGCUUGCAGAAAAGAGAAGGCAUACCGUGUAAUGCGUGAGUGUACGGUAGAUAUGAAAAUAAAAGUCAUGGCGGCACUUGCCGAGGAACCAGACGCAGGCAUUCUUGCCGAAACUCUCAAGAACCCUCCCAUGAGUGGCUCAAAGGGUACGAAAAAAGGAGAUCGAAUCAAAGCUGGUUCUGAGAAGAAAGGAAAAGGCAACAAAGCCGCAUCCAAGUGCGGCCGUUGUGGAGUAAAGGGUCACAGGAAAACAAACUACCCGGAUAACCCAGAAGUCCAGGAGAGGAUGAGGAUUGAAGAGGAAAAGAGGAAAUCGCAGCAGGAGAAGAGCGCAAGUCUUCCAGAAUCCAUUCUGUCCGGCCAUGCUGGCUUGGUUAGCCGCCUCUCUAUUCCGGCGUGCUACCUACAGUGCAGGCCCUCCACCGUUGAUGCCUGGCUCCGAUCCUGGAAGUUGAACAAUAUCCAGGUUCUUGAGUUCUACUACCUCUUCCCAGAAUUUCUGACACAAGAGAGUCAGGACUUGGAGGUAACUGCUGUCUCCGCGUCUGAACCGUAUCCAUGUCGUCUCACGUGUCUUGAGACCUUGCUUAUCUACAUGUAUUAUAAGGUGGACACCGUCAUUGAAUUGCUGCAAUGCUUUCCAAAACUGGAGAACUUGUUUGUCGAGGUAGAGCGGUGCUUCUCGGAUGUACCUGCCGUACACACUGAGGAGCUGCAGUUGAGCCUUGCACUGAUGGAGCUGCAUUUGAGCCGCUGCACUGUUUCUGGUCCUCGUACUGUGGUUAUAAAAAAUGGCUUCCCUUUUGUUUAUGAAGUUGGAUGGUGUAACAAUACAACCAUGCGUCUCUGCUGCGACAUAGGAGAGAUGAAAAGAGCUGAAAGCAUAGAGAGCCACCACAACGGUGAACCAAACCUGUUUUGCGGGGCGUUACGUAGUGCUUCUGGUUACCGCACAACCGAACCCUCUACAGUUGACGCCUGGCUUCGAUCCCCAAGACUAAAGAAUCUCCAGGUUCUCGAGUUCUAUUACAUGUUCCCAGGUUUUGUGGGAAAAACCAUCACACUACCACAUGAAAUCUCUUUGUCCGCGCCCUCACCGCCGACUUCCACGCUGCUGUUUUCCUCCUCAUUGCACACCGUCACAUUUGCUCUUUGCCAGAUACCUGAUAAGUAUGCACGAUCAUUUAAACUUCCACUCCUCAAGAGGCUUUCAUUUUUGGAAGUUGAUAUAUCAGAUGUCUCACUGCAAAGCAUAAUCAGCCAUGGUUGCCCUGCCCUCGAGUGGCUCCUGCUUGUUUGCAAUAACAUGGACCACUGCAUCAUAAUAAACUCAGGCAAAGUUGAAGUCAUCUGAUUUCCUGAAUCCAAGAUUGUUUUUGGCUCUACAGUUAUCGAGCCUAUCAAUGGUGGUUCAAUCUGUGAAGACCCUGCUUAUCCAGAUGUCAUUAAAUCUGAACAAGAGCAAGAGCGAGACGGUGAGAGAUCGGCCAUGGAGGCGAUUCAGUCGACCACCGUACGUCUUAUCGAGGUGGUCAGGGAGAGCAACCCGCAGCCCAACGCGCUGCAGCGCCUCCAGGGGUUGCUGAUGUCCGCCACGGCGCGUUCCUUCUUCGACGCCAGCUUCGCCUCCUGGCUCAAGGGUGCACUGGAAGACUUCAUUCACAAGUUCAGCUUCACCAACAGCAAGCACGGCACUUCCUCUGUGUAUGUCCAUGACCCUGUGGUGAACGUUUGGGUGGAAACAUGGUGCACAACCUAG
rnacentral:rRNA from 1 species